UUCAAGCUGAGUUGUGGGAUUUGUGUCAUCAUUAAUCUCCAGAGUUUGGAAGCCCCUCAAACUGUGUGUAGAGACCCUAGAAUGUUGUGAACUAGGUCUUGGAAGGAGAGCUUGUUAGGGUGCCUCCUCUGGCAAUGGAAACUGCAUAUCCACACAUGACCAAAAAGCAAAUGAUAUAUUACUGUAAUACAGCCUGGCCCCAGUAUUCCCUGGGAGAUCAGAAGAGAUGGUCUGAACAUGGGUCACUUACUGCAAUUCUCCAAUUGGACUUAUUUUGCAAGAAACAUGGUAAAUGGGAAGAAAUACCCUAUAUGCAAUGUUUUAUGGCCCAACGUUUUAUGGCCCUCUAUCAAAACCCUGCCCUGCAGAUGAAAUGCAGAAUAUGUAAAUUGGCCAAAGGGAACUAUAUUGCCAAUUCUAGAAGCCUCUGGAAGCAUCAGUCAUGUGGGGGCCUAUAGGGAAGGGAACAAGUAAGAAGAGUCCCUUUAUUUCCCCCUCCAAGAGAAGUGAGGCCCUCUAACUCUACUCGGGGACUGGAACCUUGGCCAAUACAGGGGCAUAGUCCACCUUCUUGGAAAUGGUGCCCUCUGCACCUCCAGGGAAAAGCAAGGGCCUGUUCUGUAUUUGUCGGGCCCUCCAAACUCUGCAGAGCCAGCUGUGGCUCCUGCUAUGGUAAUAGCAGGCCACUGUUGUACUCUUCUUUGCCAGGGAGCACCACUCAUAGUGGGAAUGCAUAUAACCCUGGAGGGUGACUGUUGCCACUCAGAGCAUGCCUGUUGGAGAAAGAAGUUUUGCUCGGGUCUAUGUGUUUUUUAAAACUGUUGACUUGUAUAACUGGAAAUCCCAUAGUAAGGGCUUAUGGGUGAGCCCACAAGAGUUCGUAACUCUCAUAUGGAGAAUAUUCUCCACACAUAACCCUACCUGGCCAGGUGUGCAGACCGUAACAGCAACCCUGCUUACAGCAGAAGAUAAAUCUGUCACCAUGGCCAAAACUAAGGAGGAGGCAGACAAUAUGUGUGCUGAUAACCUGGUGACCUGGCCCCUUGAGGUGUCAGUCCCAAUAGCCAACCCAAACUGGGACCCCAGUGAUGACAAGAAUCAAGAACGGCUUCAUCAUUAUAGCAAUAUGCUUCUCGGAGGUACAAGGGAAGCAAGCCAGCCCCUGGUCAAUUGAGGAAAUCUCAGAGAAACAGAACAAGGCCCUAAUGAAAAUCCAUCAGCAUUCCUAAAUUGAUAAUAAGAAUGCCUCCAGAAUUACACCCCUUGGGACCCAGAUGACCCAAAAGCCGAGUAGUACUUUAAUCCCACUUCAUCUCUCAGCCCCAGAUAUUCAGAGAAUAAAAUUCCUAUUGAUC
rnacentral:sRNA from 1 species